AGUCCUAGACUUUCAAAACCUGAUUCGACAUUAACGAUAAUAUUUAUCGUUGUAUUUCUGCUCGUGAUAUCCCUGAAAAUUCUCGGAGUUACUGCUCAAAGAAAGUGGGGAUAUUUAGGAAAAAGAAUGAAUUCCGUCGUUGUGUCAUUCAGAAAGGAUGCAGAAAGGAUUACGUUAGCUGACGAUAUUACAGAACAGCCUGGUCUUAUUGAUGAGUCAGUGGAGCCUACAGAUGGGUUGAAUUAUGUGGAGGUUUUGACAGAGCCACUAGCAUCAAGACAAACUAGAAUUCGAGGAAUAGAAAACAAAAUAAUGUAUUCAGAAAUUGAUCAUUCAUUAAAGGCAUAAGAUGAAUAAUCAGACAUUAAUAAAUGAGGAGCGAAAGAUAUACAUGUAUAAUAUAAAACAUGUUUUUUUUUAUAUUAUCAAUGUUAAAAAAAUACUGUUGUUUAUUUUUUAUGUUCUUAAUCUGAAUAUAAUUUCGAUUCUCGUGUGUUAUUAAUUUUCAUCUAAUUAACUAAGGCAAACAAGACCCGAUGAUUGAACAUAUUUCCACAUUUGAAUAAAGUAAUAGAUUGGAAAUGAAAUAGGCAUUUUGUAUUUGUAGACGACCUUUGAAAAAAUCGAAAACGUCCGAUAGCAAUGGUUACAGGAGGUGUGAUGAGAUAAUUGAAGCUGUUAAUUUUCUCCUUGAUAAUAUUUAUGUACGUUUCGGCAACAAAGUUUAUCGACAGGUUGUAGUUAUCCCCAUGGGCACUAAUUGUACCCCUUUAAUAGCAGACUUGUUUUUGUACUGUUACGAACCACAGUUUAUGACUAAACUCAGUAAAGACCCGUCGAAAUUGCAUUUAAUUGAUAAAUUCAACAACACU